rnacentral:rRNA from 1 species
CCCUUAGAUGUUCUGGGCCGCACGCGCGCUACACUGAUGAAUUCAACGAGCACUAACCUGUGCCGAAAGGUUCGGGUAAUCUUGUGAAAUUUCAUCGUGAUGGGGAUUGAUUAUUGCAAUUUUUAAUCAUAAACGAGGAAUGCCUAGUAAGCGUGAGUCAUCAGUUCACGUUGAUUACGUCCCUGCCCUUUGUACACACCGCCCGUCGCUCCUACCGAUUGAAUGUGCCAGUGAAAAGUUCGGAUUGGAGAUAGGAGACGGCAACGUAUCCUAUUUCCGAGAAAAUCUUUAAACUUUCCCAUUUAGAGGAAGGAGAAGUCGUAACA